rnacentral:tRNA from 1 species
GAGGGUACAGCUCAAGUGGUAGAGCACAUGCUUAGCAUGCACGAAGUUGUGGGUUCAAUACCCAGUACCUCCU